AAAACUUAAAAAAAUUUGGCGGUAUUUUAGUCUAUUCAGAGGAACCUGUUUUAUAAUCGAUAAUCCACGAUGGACCUUACUUAAGUUUGUUAAUCAGUUUAUAUACCGUUGUUAUUAGAAUAUUUUAUAAGAAUGUUAAUUUUCAUAAUUUUUUAUAAAAAGUAUAUCAAAUCAAGGUGUAGCUUAUAUUUAAGUAUAAAUGGGUUACAAUAAAUUUAUUUAAGUGAAUAUAAAUUUGAAAUAUUUAUUGAAGAUGGAUUUGAUAGUAAAAUUAUAAAGAUAAAUAAUUUGAUUUUAGCUCUAAAAUAUGCACAAAUCGCCCGUCACUCUCUGA
rnacentral:rRNA from 1 species